AGUGGCGGAGAAAAUCGUAUGAGGGAAGAAGCGGAGAAACCCUAAUCUCUUUGACCAGAGAUGGUAUAGAGGCCUGGGGUUUUUUUCUUCGACAUCACGAUCACCGGCGUCCCCGCCGGCCGGAUCGUGAUGGAGCUCUUCUCCGACGUGGUCCCCCGCACGGCGAAGAACUUCCGAGCCCUGUGCACCGGCCAGAAGGCUGUCAGGAGGUCCGGCAAGCCCCUCCACUAGAAAGGGUCGAUAUUCCACUGGAUUUUUCGGAGGUUCAUGUGCCAGGACGGCGACUUCACCGCCAGGAACGGCACCGGCGGGCAGUCCAUGGAGAUGUAAAUUCAAAUUCGAAGCUUGUCAUCGAUUGUCUGGAGGCUUGCAAAUGUUGCCCCCGCAUUAAUAGAAGUGCAAUUGUGGACCUCUGAUGGAGCAAUUUAAAAGGAAAUUUAUCAAGACUCUUGAUAUUUAGUAGAAAUUCAGUUUUUUUUUUUUUCCUUAACAUGAAAAUAAUUUGUCAAAUUUACACAUAAUAUUAAUAUUUAUGAUAAUUAGAAAAACGACGAAAUGAUAUUUAUGGUUAUUUGAGAUUAUUUAGUUAACAAAGUUCGUGGUAUCCAUAUGGUAGGUGUACAAAGCGCUUUAGUUAAAGUAUUUUUAAGAUGUUUUACCAUCCAUGCGUAAAAUUAGUAAUGAGCUCAAAUUUUACCGGAACGAAUGAUCGUUAAAAAUUUAUAAAAAUAGAAUUCUAAAUAUAGAUACUCUUAAAUUUUGAAGGGAAAAUUAUAAUUGAAAUUAUUGUGAGAAUUGAGAAGUUGUGAAUGUUAUCAUUUUUAAAUGGUUUUAACUGGAAAAUCUAUUUUCUUAUCAAAAUUUUUUUAUUAUCUAUUUGGAUAAUGAUGCCAGUCUCCCAGAUUUAACGGACUCGACUCUGUAGCCAAACCGAUAUC